CCGGAGAUGGUGCAAAGGAUAGCGCGGCCCUCGGGAUAGCUUGUGGGAAUCCGGGCUUGGGCAGAUCGGGGUUCAAUUCCCCGUUUCCGCG